GCCGGCGUAGCUCAACGGUAGAGCGGCGCAUUCGUAAUGCGCGGGUAGGAGGUUCGACUCCUCUCGCCGGCUCCA
rnacentral:tRNA from 1 species